GCGUGAGUGAUGAAGGCCUUAGGGUUGUAAAGCUCUUUUACCAGGGAUGAUAAUGACAGUACCUGGAGAAUAAGCUCCGGCUAACUCCGUGCCAGCAGCCGCGGUAAUACGGAGGGAGCUAGCGUUGUUCGGAAUUACUGGGCGUAAAGCGCACGUAGGCGGCUAUUCAAGUCGGGGGUGAAAGCCCGGGGCUCAACCCCGGAACUGCCCUCGAAACUAGGUAGCUAGAAUCUUGGAGAGGCGAGUGGAAUUCCGAGUGUAGAGGUGAAAUUCGU
rnacentral:rRNA from 1 species